AUUGAACGCUGGCGGCAGGCUUAACACAUGCAAGUCGAACGGCAACAGGAAGCAUUUUGCUGCUUCGCUGAUGAGUGGCGGGCGGGUGAGCAAUGUGUGAGCAGCCCUCUGAUGGAGGGGGACAACUAGUGGAAACGGUAUAUAACACCGCAUAAUGUCGCAAGACCAAUGAGGGUGAGCAACGGGCCUCUUGCCAUCAGAUAUGCCCAGAUGGGAUUCGCUUGUUGGUGGUGUAACGGCUCACCAAGGCGACGAUACCUAGCUGAUCUGAGAGGGUGACCGGCCACACUGGAACUGAGACACGGUCCAGACUCCUACGGGAGGCAGCAGUGGGGAAUAUUGCGCAAAGGGCGCAAGCCUGAUGCAGCCAUGCCGCGUGUAUGAAGAAGGCCUUCGGGUUGUAAAGUACUUUCAGCGGGGAGGAAGGGAGUAAAGUUAAUACCUUUGCUCAUUGACGUUACCCGCAGAAGAAGCACCGGCUAACUACGUG
rnacentral:rRNA from 1 species